rnacentral:rRNA from 1 species
GACGAACGCUGGCGGCGUGCUUAACACAUGCAAGUCGAGCGGUAAGGCCCUUUCGGGGGUACACGAGCGGCGAACGGGUGAGUAACACGUGGGUGACCUGCCCUCAGCUCUGGGAUAAGCCUGGGAAACUGGGUCUAAUACCGGAUAUGACUUCGCAUCGCAUGGUGUGGGGUGGAAAGUUUUUCGGCUGGGGAUGGGCCCGCGGCCUAUCAGCUUGUUGGUGGGGUGAUGGCCUACCAAGGCGACGACGGGUAGCCGGCCUGAGAGGGCGACCGGCCACACUGGGACUGAGACACGGCCCAGACUCCUACGGGAGGCAGCAGUGGGGAAUAUUGCGCAAUGGGCGGAAGCCUGACGCAGCGACGCCGCGU